rnacentral:lncRNA from 1 species
AAAAAAAGAAAAGAAAAAAAAAAACAAUUCAACAUUUUACUACACACCAAUCCCAUUAGUUCCACCAACAUCAACCAUAAACAAUUACAAACACCCCGAAAACAAGAACUCGAAUCAUAUUCGACAUUGCAAUUCCACAAAAAUCAGACACACACAAACACACAAUACACAUUAAAAAAGAAAUAAAAUGUUCACAAACAUUUGCAUAUCAAACCAACCUUUGUUAAAGCUAAAUUAACAUAUUCUAAACAAUCUAAUCCAUAAUAUGUAAUGUAUAUUAUCACCAUAUCAUACCAAAAACAGAAAUAAUAAUGGGAGAAAACAAAACCCUAGCCCCUACAAAUCCAAAGCCAGAAAAUAAAAAAAAUUAGGAGAAAAUAAAAAGAGGAGAGGGACCUUCUGGCGUUUCCAGGAGAGGAACUGGUCCUUCGUCAUCGACCUCGGAUUCUCAACUUCCUUAAUUUCUUCUUCUCCCAUUGUCGUUGAUGUUUUUUUUUGUUUCCUUUCGUUUUCUGGGAUUUUACUUUCUGUUCCAAACUGAGGUCCGAGGCUCUCUCGUCGGCCAUGGUAGUUUUAUUAGUAUUCUUUGACGCGGUGAAUUUGUUGAGACAUCGGGGCUGGGGUCAACUUACUACCAACGACGUGUCGUUUUUUAAGGCUAGAUCGAAGCCUACAAGAGCUAGACUUGUAGCUAAAAGGCAUAAAUAAGGAGAAGACUGCUAUUUUGAUAAGGAACCGGAUCUCCUCCGAACCCAAAAGAAUUGAGCCCAAAGAUCAAAUGAUUCGGAUCAUUGAAAUUUGAUUCAACAGUUACAAUUAUUAUAACUUUUAUAGGGCCCCCUGUUUGUAGCCGUUAGAUCAAAUUUCAAUGAUACGGAUCAUUUGAUGAGUGAGUUCAGUUCCUUUAGGUCCGAAGGGGAUCCGGUUCCUUUUGAUAAAACCAUCGCAUCAAUUGCCAUCAUAAAUUUAUUUGAAUACUACUUGUUAUAGUCAACUUAGUAAAGCAACUUCAUCCCUAAAAACUCAUAGUCAAGAGUCAAUUUCAUCCACCCAAAUGAAUAUUAAUUGACUGUAAUGAAUAGUAAUUGCCCAAGUGCAUCUCCACUCUUAAACUGAAUUGCAUAGUCAAUUCGUAUUAAAAUAUUUUUUUUAAUAAAAUAAAAAAUAAUUUUAUUUUUAAUUUCGGAUAUUAUUUUUAACCGAUCUUGUCAUGUGUCAUUAUCCGAAAGUACAAUUUUGUCGAUAGAUUUCAAUGUAGAAUUUUAACCAAUUUCGUAGUGCCAUAUGUCAUGAUUUCGUAAGAAUUUUAUAGAUAAAUUUCCGAUAAGAUUUUGAACCAAUCUCAUCGCAUCACGUGUCACUAUCUGUUUAGAAUCCUUUAGAAUAGAUUUCGAUAAGAUUUUCAACCAAUCACGUUGUGUCACGUGACAUUAUCUACAACCUUAUCCUUUCUUUUUUUGUCCAUAUAAACCCCACAUCCAUCCUAAUUCAUACACCAAACUCAAACUAGCUCAGAAUCUUGUAGUUUAUAAAUCUUGAGUUUUUACAAUGUCUUCUUCAAAGAGAUUGUAUGGAAUCGAUGAGUAAGAGAAAAAAUUGUUUAAGGAACAUGAAGAAUUGUUCAAUCUCGAGAAUGGUGUAGAUGAGAUGUUCAUAAUGGAAGAAGAAAAGGAUGAUGAACUUAGAAGGUAGAAAGCCUCACAUUCCCGUUGUGUCAUGCAAGCUGUGGGUCAGAUCUCCAAACCCAGGCGUUUCGCAAACUUGGAUAGAAAGAGGGAAAGACGAGGUAAUGAUCUUUUGAAAGAUUAUUUUCUCCCUCACAAUCCUCUCACAAAUAGAGAAAUACAAUAUCAGUGUGGACGUAGCCCAAACAUUAGGGUGAACCACGAUACAUCUUGUGUUAUUUACUUUCUUGCAGAUUCACGGUCGAAUUUACGUUGUUCCAAGACCCCUCCGGUUUUGUGCAUCAACAACUUGCAUAGUCGCAGCUUUUGACUCAUCACUAGCUACGUCCCAUGCCAAGUUUAGUUCACCUUGGCGAGUAACUUUGUGCAUAU